AUCCGCGACCCGGUGAAGGGGGUGCGCGUCUGGCUCGGCACCUACCCGACCGCCGAGGCCGCCGCGCGGGCCUACGACCGCGCCGCGCGCCGCAUCAGGGGCGCCAAGGCGAAGGUCAACUUCCCCAACGACUUCGGCGCCGCCCCCGCGCCGGCCGCGGCGGCGGCGAAGGCCGUCCCUCGCGUCGCGCCCACGCCGGCCGUGCUCCCGCCGCCCAAGAUGGAGGCGGUGUCCGAGGGCGCCGGCGCCUGCUCCUCCGACGAG
rnacentral:misc_RNA from 1 species